rnacentral:rRNA from 1 species
UGGUGCAUGGUUGUCGUCAGCUCGUUGUCGUGAGAUGUUGGUUAAGUCCCGCAACGAGCGCAACCCUUGUCUUUAGUUACCAUCAUUCAGUUGGGGGACUCUAGAGAGACUGCCGGUGAUAAACCGGAGGAAGGUGGGGAUGACGUCAAAUCAUCAUGCCCCUUAUGGCCUGGGCUACAAACGUAAUACAAUGGCGUAUACAAAGGGAUGCGAAAGGGCGACCUGGAGCAAAACUCACAAAGUACGUCUCAGUUCAGAUUGGAGUCUGCAACUCGACUCCAUGAAGGCGGAAUCGCUAGUAAUCGCGGAUCAGCAUGCCGCGGUGAAUACGUUCUCGGGGUUU